rnacentral:rRNA from 1 species
UCGAGGGGCUUUACUGUCUCUUACUUCCWAUSSGUGAAAUUGACCUUCCCGUGAAGAGGCGGGAAUAUGACAAUAAGACGAGAAGACCCUAUGGAGCUUUAAUUAACCGACCCAAAGAGAWCUUGAUAAUCAACCGACAGGGAUAACAUACCUCUACCAUGGGCCGACAAUUUAGGUUGGGGUGACCUCGGAGAWUAAAACAACCUCCGAGUGAUUUAAAUCUAGACUAACUAKUYKAAAGUACUACAUCACUUAUUGAUCCAAAAACUUGAUCAACGGAACAAGUUACCCUAGGGAUAACAGCGCUUCAAUCCUAUUUUAGAGUCCAUAUCGACAAUAGGAU